CGUACACUCCUGCGGGAGGCAGCAGUGGGGAAUAUUGGACAAUGGGCGCAAGCCUGAUCCAGCCAUGCCGCGUGAGUGAUGAAGGCCCUAGGGUUGUAAAGCUCUUUCACCGGUGAAGAUAAUGACGGUAACCGGAGAAGAAGCCCCGGCUAACUUCGUGCCAGCAGCCGCGGUAAUACGAAGGGGGCUAGCGUUGUUCGGAUUUACUGGGCGUAAAGCGCACGUAGGCGGACUAUUAAGUCAGGGGUGAAAUCCCGGGGCUCAACCCCGGAACUGCCUUUGAUACUGGUAGUCUUGAGUUCGAGAGAGGUGAGUGGAAUUCCGAGUGUAGAGGUGAAAUUCGUAGAUAUUCGGAGGAACACCAGUGGCGAAGGCGGCUCACUGGCUCGAUACUGACGCUGAGGUGCGAAAGCGUGGGGAGCAAACAGGAUGAGAAACCCCAGUAGUCCCAU
rnacentral:rRNA from 1 species